UACGAAGGGUGCAAGCGUUACUCGGAAUUACUGGGCGUAAAGCGUGCGUAGGUGGUUUGUUAAGUCUGAUGUGAAAGCCCUGGGCUCAACCUGGGAAUUGCACUGGAUACUGGCAGGCUAGAGUGCGGUAGAGGAUGGCGGAAUUCCCGGUGUAGCAGUGAAAUGCGUAGAGAUCGGGAGGAACAUCCGUGGCGAAGGCGGCCAUCUGGACCAGCACUGACACUGAGGCACGAAAGCGUGGGAGCAAACAGG
rnacentral:rRNA from 1 species